rnacentral:rRNA from 1 species
GAUGAACGCUGGCGGCGUGCCUAAUACAUGCAAGUCGGGCGAAUGGAUUAAGAGCUUGCUCUUAUGAAGUUAGCGGCGGACGGGUGAGUAACACGUGGGUAACCUGCCCAUAAGACUGGGAUAACUCCGGGAAACCGGGGCUAAUACCGGAUAACAUUUUGAACCGCAUGGUUCGAAAUUGAAAGGCGGCUUCGGCUGUCACUUAUGGAUGGACCCGCGUCGCAUUAGCUAGUUGGUGAGGUAACGGCUCACCAAGGCAACGAUGCGGAGCCAGCCUGAGAGGUUGAGCGGCCACACUGGUACUGAGACACGGCCCAGACUCCUGCGGGAGGCAGCAGUAGGGAAUCUUCCGCAAUGGACGAAAGUCUGACGGAGCAACGCCGCGUGAGUGAUGAAGGCUUUCGGGUCGUAAAACUCUGUUGUUAGGGAAGAACAAGUGCUAGUUGAAUAAGCUGGCACCUUGACGGUACCUAACCAGAAAGCCACGGCUAACUACGUGCCAGCCGCCGCGGUAA